rnacentral:rRNA from 1 species
UACGGAGGGGGCUAGCGUUGUUCGGAAUUACUGGGCGUAAAGCGCACGUAGGCGGGUCGUUAAGUCGGGGGUGAAAUCCUGGAGCUCAACUCCAGAACUGCCUUUGAUACUGGCGAUCUCGAGUCCGGGAGAGGUGAGUGGAACUGCGAGUGUAGAGGUGAAAUUCGUAGAUAUUCGCAAGAACACCAGUGGCGAAGGCGGCUCACUGGCCCGGUACUGACGCUGAGGCGCGAAAGCGUGGGGAGCGAACAGG